rnacentral:lncRNA from 1 species
UGUUCUCUUCAAGUGACUCUGUGUCAGCUGCAUGGAGUUGAGAAACCGAUGGGUUAGAAAAGUGGUAGAGCAGGCUGCUUCUUUUGCUGUUGUCCACUGUGAGAGAAUUGGGUGUAGUGCAUUAGGAUAUCAAGUGAUAGGAUUUGAUUUGGUCACGUUUUCAACGUUAGGCAGUCUCCGGACGGCAUGGAUAUGGAUUAGAGGGCUACGUGGCCUCCUUCUCCGUGAUUUCUGUUCAGGUGAAGGCUAUGAU